AUAUCAAUAAGCGGAGGAAAAGAAACCAACAGGGAUUACCCUAGUAACGGCGAGUGAAGCGGUAACAGCUCAAAUUUGAAAUCUGACCUUCACGGGUCCGAGUUGUAAUUUGUAGAGGAUGUUUCGGAUAAGGCUUUGGUUUAAGUUUCUUGGAACAGAACGUCAUAGAGGGUGAGAGUCCCGUCUAGAACCGAUAGCCGCGUUCAUGUGAAACUCCUUCGACGAGUCGAGUUGUUUGGGAAUGCAGCUCAAAAUGGGUGGUAAAUUUCAUCUAAAGCUAAAUAUUGGCCAGAGACCGAUAGCGCACAAGUAGAGUGAUCGAAAGAUGAAAAGCACUUUGAAAAGAGAGUUAAACAGUAU
rnacentral:rRNA from 1 species